rnacentral:rRNA from 1 species
AACGAGGUAGCAAUACCUAGUGGCGGACGGGUGAGUAACGCGUGGGAAUCUGCCUUUAGAUGGGGGAUAACGGGCCGAAAGGUCCGCUAAUACCGCAUAUGCCGCAAGGUGAAAGGAGUAAUCCGUCUAAAGAUGAGCCCGCGUCCGAUUAGCUAGUUGGUAGAGUAAGAGCCUACCAAGGCGACGAUCGGUAGCUGGUCUGAGAGGAUGAUCAGCCACAAUGGGACUGAGACACGGCCCAU